rnacentral:rRNA from 1 species
UACGUAGGGUGCGAGCGUUGUCCGGAAUUAUUGGGCGUAAAGGGCGCGUAGGCGGCGUGUUAAGUCAGCUGUGAAAUCUCCAAGCUUAACUUGGAACGGUCAGCUGAUACUGAUGUGCUAGAGUGCAGAAGGGGCAACCGGAAUUCUUGGUGUAGCGGUGAAAUGCGUAGAUAUCAAGAGGAACACCUGAGGUGAAGACGGGUUGCUGGGCUGACACUGACGCUGAGGCGCGAAAGCCAGGGGAGCAAACGGG